rnacentral:rRNA from 1 species
UACGAAGGGGGCUAGCGUUGCUCGGAAUCACUGGGCGUAAAGCGCACGUAGGCGGAUUCCUAAGUCGGUGGUGAAAUCCUGGAGCUCAACUCCAGAACUGCCUCCGAUACUGAGAGUCUCCGAGUCCGGGAGAGGUGAGUGGAACUGCGGGUGUAGAGGUGAAAUUCGUAGAUAUUCGCAAGAACACCAGUGGCGAAGGCGGCUCACUGGCCCGGUACUGACGCUGAGGUGCGAAAGCGUGGGGAGCAAACAGG